rnacentral:tRNA from 1 species
GCACUAGUGGUUUAGUGGUAGAAUAGUACCCUGCCACGGAAUAGACUCGGGUUUGAUUCCCAGCUGGUGAA